AUUGAACGCUGGCGGCAUGCUUUACACAUGCAAGUCGAACGGCAGCGCGGGCUUCGGCCUGGCGGCGAGUGGCGAACGGGUGAGUAAUACAUCGGAACGUGCCCAGUAGUGGGGGAUAGCCCGCCGAAAGCCGGAUUAAUACCGCAUACGACCUGAGGGAGAAAGCGGGGGAUCUUCGGACCUGGCGCUAUUUGAGCGGCCGAUGGCAGAUUAGCUAGUUGGUGGGGUAAAGGCUUACCAAGGCGACGAUCUGUAGCUGGUCUGAGAGGACGACCAGCCACACUGGGACUGAGACACGGCCCAGACUCCUACGGGAGGCAGCAGUGGGGAAUUUUGGACAAUGGGCGAAAGCCUGAUCCAGCAAUGCCGCGUGUGUGAUGAAGGCCUUCGGGUUGUAAAGCACUUUUGGCGGGAACGAAAAGGACUGUGCCAAUACCACGGUUCGAUGACGGUACCCGCCGAAUAAGCACCGGCUAACUACGUG
rnacentral:rRNA from 1 species